UUCCAGACUCCUACGGGAGGCAGCAGUGGGGAAUAUUGCACAAUGGGGGAAACCCUGAUGCAGCGACGCCGCGUGAGUGAAGAAGUACUUCGUUAUGUAAAGCUCUAUCAGCAGGGAAGAAAAUGACGGUACCUGAGUAAGAAGCCCCGGCUAACUACGUGCCAGCAGCCGCGGUAAUACGUAGGGGGCAAGCGUUAUCCGGAUUCACUGGGUGUAAAGGGAGCGUAGACGGCCAUGCAAGCCUGGAGUGAAAGCCCGGGGCCCAACCCCGGGACUGCUCUGGGAACUGUGCGGCUGGAGUGCGGGAGGGGCAGGCGGAAUUCCUGGUGUAGCGGUGAAAUGCGUAGAUAUCAGGAGGAACACCGGCGGCGAAGGCGGCCUGCUGGACCGCGACUGACGUUGAGGCUCGAAAGCGUGGGGAGCAAACAGGAUUAGAUACCCCCGUAA
rnacentral:rRNA from 1 species